AACUUGAUCUUCAAACGGCAUCCUGGUAUUCUUUCAAUUGCAAUGGCAUCCCGAAUUAUUAUUGGAAUUUUGGUGAUCAGUGUAAUGAUCAUUACGUACAUUUCGAUGGUCGAGGGGCAGGAUGGCCAAGUGAGACAAUGCGAAAGUGUUGCUGAUUGUGAUGCGGAGCCUUGUGAACCAGGCGUCGAAAAACUGUGCCGUGCAACAUUUAAUCAACCUCCAAAAAUAUGUUUAUGUGCGACAGGAUGAUCACGGCAAUAAUAAAGUUAAUAAAUCAGGAGGUGGGAUAAUAUCAAGUGAUUAAGUUCUCCUUCUGAAAAUCUGACCUCAAAAUGGAAAUGAUCAUUGAGAAUAAAUUCUCAAGCUAUUAUUGCAAAUGAAAA